rnacentral:rRNA from 1 species
AGAACGAACGCUGGCGGCAUGCCUAACACAUGCAAGUCGAACGAGACCUUUCGGGGUCUAGUGGCGCACGGGUGCGUAACGCGUGGGAAUCUGCCCCUUGGUUCGGAAUAACAGUUAGAAAUGACUGCUAAUACCGGAUGACGACGUAAGUCCAAAGAUUUAUCGCCGAGGGAUGAGCCCGCGUAGGAUUAGCUAGUUGGUGAGGUAACGGCUCACCAAGGCGACGAUCCUUAGCUGGUCUGAGAGGAUGAUCAGCCACACUGGGACUGAGACACGGCCCAGACUCCUACGGGAGGCAGCAGUGGGGAAUAUUGGACAAUGGGCGAAAGCCUGAUCCAGCAAUGCCGCGUGAGUGAUGAAGGCCUUAGGGUUGUAAAGCUCUUUUACCAGGGAUGAUAAUGACAGUACCUGGAGAAUAAGCUCCGGCUAACUCCGCGCCAGCAGCCG